rfam:Astyanax mexicanus Tnplaced_Scaffold4359, whole genome shotgun sequence.
GGUUGUAUAAGGAGAUUUUAGUUUGAUUGUAGGUUGUAUAAACUUUAUACAACCUACAAUCAAACUAAAAUCUCCUUAUACAACC